CUUCUGCCAACAACUUGCAGCACCUGGUUGGAGUCAUCGCUCAGAUUUGCAUCAACAACCCAUAGCACCCCUCAGUCUCACAGGGCUCUCGUGGACCGUGGAUUGCAGGAGGAAUGAGAACUUUGGAUGCCAUUCCACUUGAUGUCAAGAGAAGAAUACCUAAAGAGUCCUCAGUCCAGGGCCAGCCACUUACCUAUUAAGCAUGCAACUCACUUGCCUGAAAAGGGCAAUGGCAAAGCAGUCUCAUGGACUAAGCGAGCUAUGAUGUUAGUUAUAAGGAAAGUAUGGCAAUAUCCUAUGGGAUAUGUACAAGUGUGGAAAUGUGCACCUUUGACUGAACCAUGUUUCUUGCUCCAUAUUGAAAAAUGACCUCAUUCCUUUGUAAGUAUUAGUCACAUUUUAAUGGGGACAUAUUCAACGUUUGUGCGGGAACUCCCGAAUCUUCUGAAAGCAUUAGCAUCACACAUGGGUGAAUUUCAAUUACCGAUGGUGCCACCAAUUCAGUGUUCUUCCUAUAUUAUGGUCACAGAUGAAGGUGAAUUUUUAGAUGGUCAGUGACUACAGGCUUUGAAGCAACUGACGUCACUUGCUUUUCAUUUGUAACCUUUCUGCUCGUAAUUGUAGUUCCUGCUGGUAAGCAAGAUGUGUAAACACGUAAACAUACUAGGCUUUGAAAAUGCAAGCUCUUUUGCUCUGCAUUAAUAUGAUCAUUUCUCUAAGUUAAUGCAUCAUCAUUACUUCCCACUUGGCACAUGGGAAAAUGUAGCACAAGCAGAAAUAGGGUUUGAAGUUAAAUCUCAAAAAAGAAAAAAAAAAGAUUUUGCUCUUAUAGAAAAUAAAAGAAGUAAGGGCUAUAAACAAAACAAAAAAACGCUUGAGUUGUAUUUGAAAAGUGGCUGCUAGGCAGGCAGAAUUUCCUGAGCUCUUGGACUGAAGAUGGUCAUACACUAUGAGAUGUUUUGCUUUUUCCAUUCAGGCAGAAGGUGGUUGAAAGAAGAUACUUUUAAAUGUCAUUCCAAGUAUGCCAGGGGUGCAGACCAAGAAAAGCCUUUAGAAUCCAUUAGGUUUCUUUUAAGAUUCCCUACAGACACUUUACCUAUCUGAAAAUUAUUUUCUCCACUGUCACCAGGAGAUAAUAAUAUCUAUUUUGCACCAUUGUUGUAUAGAGCAGUGAUCACAGUGCUGAUGUAGAGCAGGAACUCAGUAAAAAGAAAGGGUUUUGAAUGUUAAUAAAGAAAGUUAAAACCUGCUCAAACAAGUAAGAAGUGACAAACUCUUCCAUGAGAUUUAUUUUCCUCAUCUCUAAAUACAGUAACAGGACCUUAUUCUUUGGGUUAAAUAAGGUAGUGAGGAUUAAAUCAAAGCACAUGAAAAUGCCUUGCACAGAG